rnacentral:rRNA from 1 species
UGGGGAAUAUUGGACAAUGGGCGAAAGCCUGAUCCAGCCAUGCCGCGUGUGUGAAGAAGGCCUUUUGGUUGUAAAGCACUUUAAGCGAGGAGGAGGCUACUUGGAUUAAUACUCUAGGAUAGUGGACGUUACUCGCAGAAUAAGCACCGGCUAACUCUGUGCCAGCAGCCGCGGUAAUACAGCGGGUGCGAGCGUUAAUCGGAUUUACUGGGCGUAAAGCGUGCGUAGGCGGCUUUUUAAGUCGGAUGUGAAAUCCCUGAGCUUAACUUAGGAAUUGCAUUCGAUACUGGGAAGCUAGAGUAUGGGAGAGGAUGGUAGAAUUCCAGGUGUAGCGGUGAAAUGCAUAAAGAUCUGGAGGAAUACCGAUGGCGAAGGCAGCCAUCUGGACUAAAACUGACGCUGAGGGACGAAAGAAUGGGGAGCAAACAGG